UCUUCAAAUCAUCAGGAUCGACACUUCUAUAGUAUUUUUCCAGCGAAACUCUGCCCCAAUCUCAACAACAGUGGAUUUCCAUAGCAACGGUGUCUUCUUGUUGUGUAUACGUAGUUCGGUGGAAAAAUAGAGAUGAAACCAUUGAAGAUUGAAAAUGAGGUCGAUUCUAAUAUGAAGAGUACUAUAAGAUAUACAUUUGUCGCACCUGGUGCUAUUGGAAAGGGACGAGGAUGAGGGCUUAAAUCUUUGGGUGAGAAAGGAAAUUUACCAUCUAAGAGUAUAUUGCCUCAAUCAAGUGAUCUAGUUAAGAAGUACAUCAAAGAAAUUGAAACAAAUUAAAUAGGGAAGGGACGAGGACAAGGACUUAAAAACUCUACCAUGUCUACUAGUCAAGGAAUAUGAAUGAUGCAUAAGAACUCCAUGGCUUUUGAGAAAGAGAACAUGCAAAUUAUUACUUCUUCUCCUACAUCUACUAAUCAAGUUAAGAAAUACACCCAAGAAAUUGAAACAA